CCUACGGGAGGCUGCAGUGGGGAAUAUUGCGCAAUGGGCGAAAGCCUGACGCAGCGACGCCGCGUGAGGGAUGAAGGUCUUCGGAUCGUAAACCUCUGUCAGCAGGGAAGAACGGUCACUGUGCUAAUCAGCAGUGACUUGACGGUACCUGCAAAGGAAGCACCGGCUAACUCCGUGCCAGCAGCCGCGGUAAUACGGAGGGUGCGAGCGUUAAUCGGAAUUACUGGGCGUAAAGCGCUCGUAGGCGGUAUGUCAAGUCAAGGGUGAAAUCCCCGCGCUCAACGUGGGAACUGCCUUUGAAACUGGCAAACUGGAGUGUGGAAGAGGAGAGUGGAAUUCCAGGUGUAGGAGUGAAAUCCGUAGAUAUCUGGAGGAACAUCAGUGGCGAAGGCGACUAUCUGGCACAUAACUGACGCUGAGGAGCGAAAGCGUGGGUAGCAAACAGGAUUAGAUACCCGAGUAGUC
rnacentral:rRNA from 1 species